UACGUAGGGUGCGAGCGUUGUCCGGAAUUACUGGGCGUAAAGAGCUCGUAGGUGGUUUGUCGCGUUGUUCGUGAAAACUCACAGCUUAACUGUGGGCGUGCGGGCGAUACGGGCAGACUGGAGUACUGCAGGGGAGACUGGAAUUCCUGGUGUAGCGGUGGAAUGCGCAGAUAUCAGGAGGAACACCGAUGGCGAAGGCAGGUCUCUGGGCCGCAACUGACGCUGAGGAGCGAAAGCAUGGGGAGCGAACAGG
rnacentral:rRNA from 1 species